UACAGCCAGAUCACGUUGAAACAUUGGUUCCCGUACGAACUCUGAAGUUAAGCAACGUCGAGUCUGGUCACUACCUUAAUGGGUAACAAUUUGGGCAAUACCAGGUGCUGG